CUGUAGAGCAUCUCUGCCCCCUUUUCACUUUCAGAAUGCAAGCUCCUUGAGGCCAGGACUUUGGAUUUUUUGCCACUGCUCUAUUUCUGACACCACGAGUAGUGCCUGGCCCAUAGGAAGAGCUCAAUCGUUAUUUGCUGAGUGUUGAGUGAAUGAAGACCUCCUAUCAGGUCUCGGCUUGACUGUAUCCUCCAUGCUUGCCCCAGGGAACCCUAUAUUUAGAAGGCAUAAAGAAUCCAGAGUGUUUAUAGAAGGACUUCUGGGAGACUGUGAACUCCAUGGAACUGAAUGCAAAACUUUUGUAUCACUGCUUACGUGCCUUUUUCGAGGACAAGAAUCUACAACUUCAUCAGAUUCUCAAGUACCAUGUGGCUGAAGAUACAUUAACAUUCACUGCCCAACAGUGGACGUAUCCAAAGCGGAUCCAUCUCUAACACAUUCAAGACGCUCCCUAGAGUGGUUGAUGUGAUUGUCCAAGGUGACAGCAUCUUCAUUUCCACAUAUACUCCGGGUCUGGCUCUAGAGAGAAAUCCACUGGGCCUGGUAAAUUAUAUA